UUCAUUUGAGCAUCAGAACAACGCACUAGGAAUGCCUUCAUUUUAUGACAAGCUAACUAAAGUUCAGCUCGCUUCAGGGAUCGGUAUGAGUCACUUUUUCAGUCUUAGCCGCUACAACAAAAUAGCCAACAAGGGCAAGAAACCCAGUACAGCUCUCCCCUGGAGGUGGAGUUCUCUGCGGCGACACUUCAUGACAAAUCCUCUUUAAGUAAGAAAGCUAUCACCUGCCUUCAAAUACCUGAAAAGCCACGAAAGCCAGUAGUCAUCUGGGAGCCAAGCAGGAAGCAGAUGGGUCAGCACAAGGGCAGCUUGCUGGUCACGGGACCUGCCUGAGGAUGUUUCAGGCUGCUUUGGAAGGUGAGAACUUCCCAUCCACGGACAGUUCAAACAAAGGCUGAGAAACAUUGUGCCUGGGAAUGUUAUAGAGGAAAUUCAACGGUGCACAGGAAACUAGGACAUCCCCACUGAUUGGCCGGCCAGCCAGAGAGACCUGCCUAGGCCCCGAGAGUAACUGUGCCCUUUGCCACCGUGACCAGGAUGCACUGUUAAGACGGAGCAGAGAUCUUCCUCGUGGAGAAGAAGAAGCAUUCUCUUGAGACAUGCGAGCACCUGGUGCAUUGCAGGAUAUUUGGAUGCGCUGUGAAAUCCCGAGACUAUGCUAAUAAAAUUAACCUUGGUUUAUGGGGCAGAGCCAGAGACCAGCUGACAAGAAUUAGCCACAGAGAGGACAGAGGACCCAGGGAGACAGAGAGAGAGACGCACAGGAAGGAGUAGGGAAGGAUUUAGAGAUUCUCGGUCUUCUUGGUGUGG